rnacentral:tRNA from 1 species
AAAGAUUUAGUAUAGGAGUAUAAAUUAUUGUCAAUAAUUAGGGUAAAUCUUUG